UACACUCCUGCGGGAGGCAGCAGUGGGGAAUUUUGGGCAAUGGGCGAAAGCCUGAUCCAGCAAUGCCGCGUGAGUGAAGAAGGCCUUCGGGUUGUAAAGCUCUUUUGUCAGGGAAGAAACGGUGAAAGCUAAUAUCUUUUGCUAAUGACGGUACCUGAAGAAUAAGCACCGGCUAACUACGUGCCAGCAGCCGCGGUAAUACGAAGGGUGCAAGCGUUAAUCGGAAUUACUGGGCGUAAAGCGUGCGCAGGCGGUUUUGUAAGUCUGAUGUGAAAUCCCCGGGCUCAACCUGGGAAUUGCAUUGGAGACUGCAAGGCUAGAAUCUGGCAGAGGGGGGUAGAAUUCCACGUGUAGCAGUGAAAUGCGUAGAUAUGUGGAGGAACACCGAUGGCGAAGGCAGCCCCCUGGGUCAAGAUUGACGCUCAUGCACGAAAGCGUGGGGAGCAAACAGGAUUAGAUACCCCGGUAGUCCC
rnacentral:rRNA from 1 species